UUUUUGCCUUUUCUAGGGCUGCUCCCACGGCAUAUGGAGGUUCCCAGGCCAGGGGUCUAAUCGGAGCUGUAGCCCCCGGCCUAGGCCAGAGCCACAGCAACGUGGGAUCCGAGCCAUGUCUGCAACCUACACCACAGCUCACGGCAACGCUGGAUCCUUAACCUACUGAGCAAGGCCAGGGAUCGAACCUGCAACCUCAUGGUUCCUAGUUGGAUUUGUUAACCACUGAACCACGAUGGGAACUCCUGAGCAGAUCUUUAGAGACUGGAUGGGAGCUACCAAAAGUAGAAGGGUAAGAGGCAUUCAGGUUAGUGGGGACCAUAUGAGCUUGGCAGUCAGGGGCAGGAUGCCUUGGGGAUUGUUGAGUGACUGGGAAUUUUUAUUGCUUCAAGAUUUCUAGUGCACAAGGAGCAUGAAUAACUUGAUAUUCAGUUGAGAAGAAACUUGAGUGCCAUGGUAGGGAGUUGGGUAUUUAUUAGGCAUUUAACAUGUACCACUGUGUUUAUUCUCUAAUUGUUGAGUAUGUACAAAGCUUGUCCUCCUUGGUGUUUGUGAUGUGGAAUUGUACGGCUGGAAGGCAACUCAGGUUAUUUACCCCUGAACCGCUAAUUUUAUACAUGAAGAAACAGAAGUAUAAGUCAUUUGGUUGAAAGGGUCUUUUCCUAGGGAUUGGAGAGAAUUCAGCCCAUUUGCAUAUAGAUAGAAAGCAAUCUUCCCGCUGCUGUUGUAUAGACUGGCACUUAGUCAAAAAGAAAAACAGCUCCCUGUUUAUUUAAAUUGAGCAGGAAGGAAGUACAGGAGCAGGUGGGUGGACCCGAUAAUCUCACUAUUCAGGACACGGGAAUGUAGUGUAAAGGUAGCUUUGAUCUGGACACCUUCCAAGGAAACUGAGCUGCAGAAGUACCAGGAGGACUUAGUAAUGAGGCAGUUUUAUGCCAAAAGUAAUCACAGGCUAGAGCCUCUGGACUCCACCAAGGCAUCUUUUAAUUCAGUCACACACUGCACACAUGGAAGGUCUUCUCCUUCUCUGGGAUUUCAAAGAAAAUUCUCCCUAGUUAGUGAGUAAGAAUUCCUCUGUUGGUAACAAGAAAUUCUGGGGUAGAUGCCAACCCUUGAAUAUGCUGAGUCUGAGAGGAUCACCCUUCUUCGAGGGGUCUUUCUUCAAUCUCCACUGGGAUGUAAAUCAUAGGAUAAUGUGACUCCGGAAGAGACUGUGAGAAGUCACUGCCUGGAGGAAUUUGAGAAACUUCUCUCAUUUGACUCUUUCAUUAAAAGAGGCUAGUUCCCAAUUUCCAUUACGCUCUGUGUUGUAGGGCCCCAUCUUGGCCUCAGCCAUAUUCAUCCUAGUGAUGGGAGAAGGCCUGGGUGUCUUUGCUCAAGCAGUCAAGAAGCCUGAUGAGAAAGAUCUCAUUCUCAAGGACAGAGUCAAAGUAAUAAACUCAAUACAAGGAAAAAACUUCACUUUCAAGGGACGGACCAAGUCAUUUAAAUCUGGUUCAGCCCCAGGCCACUUGUACAAGGAAGGUGGACCCCAAAUCACAUCAAUAUAGAAGCACAGUUGCACCUACUCUCUGGGAGACUUAAGCCACAGGACUGUGUGUUAUGCGACUGUGCCCUGCCCAAUGGGCCCAGCAGCAGUGUCCCUGUGCCCAGGAAGGCAGGGUGCCCUCUUAGCCUCCUCUAACAAGAAAUGGGUUCCUACAGCUUCAAGAAUGAAGACAAAUGUUAGGGAUUUUGCAAAGGAAAAAGUAAUUCAAAGUUGAACAAGUAGCUAUGGAAAUCCAGACGUCCCCAUAGGCAGCACAGACCCCAUAAUCAUUUGCUUUUCACACGAUAUGGCAGCCUUUGUCUCCAUUUGACAAAAUUAUAAUUGGAGAACAAGAAUAGGACAAAAGGUAAUUGGUUUGCAACUAACCCAUGGAGAGGCACUGCUUCAUCUAGAAAUCAGGAGGUCGCCCUUGCCGCGGAGGGACCACACAGAUUCAUGCUGCAGUUUUCUCUCAAGUAAUUUUACCAUAAAACAUGAAGUGACAGAUUCUGUCCUAGACCACAAGCAGGUAGAGUUAAUUUUUUCCCUCAUUUCAUGACAUGACAGCUGAGGCAAAAAUGUAAUGGGUUUUCUGUAAAUACAUAGAAAAAGCUUAUCACGCAGAGAAUUCGAAUGCUCAUUCACUUUUGGGGAAGGAUGCUUCUUAGAAGAAAAAAAGAUUCUAGCUACUUGAAAAGUCUUACUGCUUAUUCCCAAUAAAAUAUAAAAACACUGUCUUCAAUCUAUAUUACACCUGAUUUUAUCACAUGGCACUCAGCCAAUUAUGUCUCCAGAGGCUGCUGGCAAAGAAUGCUUCCCAUCCCACAGGUGGGCUCUUGCUCCAAGUCAGGGCACUCCAGAUUCUCGCCUUUGCAGCUGGAUUUCUGACUCAAUUUUCAGAGAAUGGAUGUUUGCCAAGCUAACUCGGGAAUGACAAAUAAUUCCCUUUCUUAGGGUUCUGAACCAUUCCUUCAUCUCUGAUACGCCUUCAACACUGGAGACAAAGUUGUGGAAGGUGCGUUCUCAUUUUUCUGCUCAUAUCUGUUAAAACUGCCAGAACACUUACCAUCACAAUCAGGAACAGCCAUAUAUAUUUAAGACACUCAUAUAUAAAGAAAAAUGGUUCCUUCCAGUAUUCUGAUAGUGUGUCUGUGCCCUCAAGUCGGUCAAGAGGAUAUUUAUAAAGCACUUGAUGCUCAAAGGCUUUGCGGAAGGUCUGAAGCUCAGAGACCAUCAGCCUCCUACCACUCUUCCUGGGCCGUCCAGACCCUGAAGUGUAACCACGUCUGAAUUUCACCUCCCGAAUAAACUGCUCAUGGGGAAAUCAAAGGAUUACAGAUGGAAAGAAGCCUUUCAAAAGCAUCAGAUUCAACAUUUUCCAUUUAGAGUUGAGAAAAUGCAGAGAUGAACUGACUUGUUUCUAAAAGCCUUCCGGCUACUAAGUGGUGUUUGGGGAGCAAGUCUCACAUCCUGACUCCUGGCUCACGCUCUUUCCUUGUAGCGAGACUGCUUUUACCUACCUCCCUGGGUGACGGGGGAAUUUUCUGCCCCUUAGUCAACAGAUACUAAAUGUACGAAACUGGGACUGAGAGAACAUCAUAAGAAAAUACAUUAGUUUUAGGGUGAGGAGAGGCUACUGAGUGGUCCUGCAGAGCUCACGUGCUGGUGGGGAGGACAUCCAUCCCCCGUCAUCCACAUGAGUCACCAUAGAUGGCCUCAUUUUCCUGUAAGCAACUCUCAUCCGAGCAUGUUCCACUGACAUAUUUCAUUUCUGAAUCUUGAGGACAUCACUGCUUUAAAUUAAGCAUGUUUUCAACUAUACUUUAAUAAAAGAAUUAAAAAAAAAUUUAAGCACAUUUUGACUGAGGGUGAAGGGUAAAGAAUAUAUUUUCCAGAACUUUACAGACCUUAUCUUUUAAACAAACUUAAGAAGUAGAUAUUUUAACGUUUAUUUGACAGAUGCAGGACUAGAAACUCAGAAAGAAUCGCCCCCAAUACACGGAGCCAAUAAAUACAUGGGAUGGGCUUAACUGAGUUCUUUCUGAUUUAAUAAUUCAUGGUUUUCAAAAGGCAUAUUUCACGGUCUGUAUUAAAUCAUAGUUCUCAGUUAUCAUGCUACCACCAAAAAGAAUUAUUUGAAAAGGACACAGAAAUUUUAAAUAUUAGGCGUUUUUCAAAUUCUUUCAAAGUAGAGGUGGGCACAGUAGCUGAGUGGGGAGCAGGAGUUUGUUCAUGUAUCAGGCAACGCCCAAGUGCCCAACAGGCAUUAAUGCACUUGAUCCACACAGCAAGAGAGGGAAGUGCUGUUGUUAUCUCCUUUUUAGAGAGGAGAACACUGAACAUAGAGAUUGAAUAAUUUGUUCAAGAUCUCACACCCAGUGGCGGGGCUGGGUUUGAAAUCCAGGUGGUCAGGCUCCAGAGACCCUGCUCUCACCAGGCUCUUGGCUGCCUUUCCCAGCCCUCUCCAACCUGCAUGCAGACAAUGCCGAUCAGAGAGUCAGGCUGGUACAGGAGGAAACACCAAAGCCUGAUAUACUCACACUGAUCAGAAAAUAAAUGCAUUUUAAAUAUGGAAAGUAAAACACUGUAUUAGAUAGCAGGUGUUUUAGAACCCCAGGGUUGGUGGAAUAACUCUUGACCUCAAUGGAAACGGAGCUAAUCAGAUUUAAAAGUUCUAAAUUUCCUGGAAGGAAGGAAAGAAAGAAGGAAGGAAGGAAGAGGAGAGAAAGAAAGAAAGAAAUAAGGAAGAAGGAAGAAAGAAAGAAAAAAUUAAAGCAGGCCUUUGAGCAAGCUGCUGCCAUAGCUUCUGGCAGAAGAGUCACACAGACUCUUAUUUAGAGGCAGCAGUUUUUCUCACCUGACGAUUGAAGAAACUGAGGCUCAGAGAAGCCAAGAUUCCCACUGCUGGAUUAGAUUUAGGAUGGCUAGUUGUACACGUGUCUACAGUUAAACAAUCCAAUUCCUGCGCAAAUUCAUUUCUUUCACAAAAGGAUGGACAUGAAUUCAAAUCAAACCAAACCAGACAACAAUAAAAAUAAAAGCAAGCUGACAUAAAGGACAUUCCGAGAAGGCAAAUUUCUUCAUACCUGCUGUGGCAAAUCCCACUUAGCUGGAAUCCACACCAUCAUCUACUGCCUUUAGCACAUGCAGCCCAUCAGCAGGUCCCUGUGGCUCUACUUCAAAUAUGUCCUGAAUCCUAGUCUAGGCUGUGAUCAUUUCACAGCUCUCCUGAGUUGUCUGCUUCUUCCAUCUUGGGCCUCCUACUGUCCAUUAUACUGACAGGGCCAGGGUGGGGGAGCACUUGUAAAAGAGAAAUCAUCUCACUGCUCAAUGUAAUAUCCCUCCAAUCUCUUCCCAUGACUUAAGUAGAGCCAAAUCCAAUCCAUAUUAUAGCUCCCAGUUACCUUCCUGAAUUUCCCUCACACCAUCCCUCCCCCU
rnacentral:lncRNA from 1 species